GGAGGCGUGGCCGAGUGGUUGAAGGCAGCAUCCUGCUAAGAUGUUGUGGGAGAAAUCCCAUCGGAGGUUCGAAUCCUCCCGCCUCCGCCA
rnacentral:tRNA from 1 species